GAUCUAGAGUCUGGGUUGUGUCCAGACGGUUGAAGCGUAUACCAGAUUGUCCCUCUGGGAAGUCUACAUUGCUUUGGUGGUGCUUUCUGGUAGCAGGGUUUGAUUAUCCUUGUAUGAGUCAGUCUCUUCAAGUGCAAGCAAUCAUAUGGGUCUUAGAUAAAUAUUUCAUAUCCAGGAGAGGCUUUAGGUUUUCUUGCAGUGCAUUUGGAAUGAUAAAGGCAGUGGCAUUUCCUUGCAAAGCAUCAAUAUUGCCUUUUGCAAGGAUUGAAGUGCCUAACCAGGUAAAAGUUAAAGGAGCAAGGAUGGAGCUCUCUUUAACUCAACCAGAUGAUUGGCAUCUUCAUCUACGAGAUGGUGACCUUCUUGAAGCUGUUGUCUCUCACAUGUCACUUUAUUUUUAUGAGCACGCUCUUUCAAAGUAGGCUGAUGAUUAUCCCACUCUUUUAGUUAUGGUCUUGAUGUAUAUGAACAACAACUCUUGUAAUUUUUAAUGUUGGAUUUUAGCAAACAGGUGCUUCUUGAGUUGUGAUGAUGAGGAGACAAUAAACCACAUUCUUAUUCAUUGCCCCAAGGCGAGGGUGUUGUGGAAUCUUGUGUUUUCGUUGUUUGGGGUUAAUUGGGUCCUUCCGCUUAGAGACACUCUCCUUGGUUGGUCCGCUUCCUUUGUGGACAAGAAGCAUGGAAAGACUUGGCGGGCAGCUCCCCUUUGUUUAUUUUGGUCGGUUUGGAAAGAAAGAAAUAGGAUAGUUUUUUAUAAUGAGGCUUUGUCGAUUCAAAGAUUAAAAAACUCCUUCGUUUGUAAUCUUUUCUCUUGGUCUAAGACUUGUUUAGAUGGAGAACCCCGCUCCUUAAUUAACUUUGUUGAUUGGUUGGGUUCUAAUUGAGGGUUGGUGAGUGUAUGCUUCCUUGUGUUUUUUGUUGUGGGGCUUCUCGUGUAUACUCCCUAUAUGCUUCGGGUUGCCUUCUU